rnacentral:tRNA from 2 species
GGGCCGGUAGCUCAGCCUGGUAGAGCACCGUCUUGGCAUGGCGGGGGCCUGGGGUUCAAAUCCCCACCGGUCCA